rnacentral:lncRNA from 1 species
UUUGAGUGUGGGCCGCCGAGAGUUACCUGAUGGAUUACCAACCAAUUUGUAAUACGGACUAUGGUAGUCUGAGUUUCGUCCCUCACGUGCAAAAUCAGGUAUCGACCGUCCCUCAACUUUAAAAUCCGUUUAUUUUUUAUCCCUCGACUGUUUUGAGAGCGGUUUCGCAUGACGUGGCACCAGGUCCCACAUGUCGGGGCUAGGUUGCUUUCUUCAUCCCUCUCUUCCUCCUUCCCCUCUUCGCACUUCACCCCACCUACCUCUGACCACCGGCCGCUAUGUACCGGAGCCGCUCCCUCACCUUCACGCGCCGCCAGUGUAACAUCCCGCAUAUUCUCUUUCGCCCCCAAACAUUAAAACUUUUCUUUACAAACAAACCUUACAUAAAUAUAACAGCACAUGUGUUGCACAUGGUUACUUUAGUAAUCCUUCCUAAGUUUAGAUCUAAAACUUACAUCAAACCCCACCUAUAACUCCUAGGAACCCCACCUAUAACUCCUAGGAACAAUAUCUCAUGAGUUAAUAUUCAAAUGCAAUUUGAAUAUUAAUUCUCAACUCAAAUCCCCAUAGGAUCCUCAUUCAGCUCCAACCACACUCAAACCCCGUUAAAUUCCAAAACCCUUCCAAAAGUCACAUCUCUAUGGACAACCCAACCCUAUACCUUAAAUUCACUUCAAAUUUUAAAACUAUUUCAAAUUUGGAUCUAAAACCACACUCAAACAAAUAAAAAGACCUCAAACCCUAUCAACGGGCCGCCAAACUUCAUUCUCGGCCCACCCUUACUUCUGACCCAACCUUCCUCCACCUCCAUCUCCCACCUCUAGCCCAGCUCACCCUUGCACCCCGUUGCUUCGGCCCGCGAACACCAGCCUAGCUACCCCCCAGCCCAACCCGCCUGCCUCGGCCCAGCUCGGCCUAACCCACCCAUCUGCCCAGCGCCGUCGUGCUCUCCCGCUCCACUGCACGCGCCUCCCCCUCCCGCGCCGUGCUUCCCCCCUAUCUGCCUUGGCUCCCAAGCUAUCCUCCCCCAAUCGCCAUCUAUUCCCUCCGCCGCUCCACUAUUUCCCGCCGCUCCACUGUUCCCGGUAGCCUUGCACCGCUGCGCCAAAGCGCUUCUCUCCCUUCCCCUUCCUUCACGGCCACGGCAAGCCGCCCCAUCCUUAUCCCAUCGGCGAUGUGACCGCUCCUCCUGCUCUACCUGCGAGUAUAAAACGGACAGUGCCACCCUCUUCCCGGCCACACACCGAGCUCCAGGAGCUCAAGCUUCGGCCUUCUUGUGGCCGCACCCUUCUCAUCUCCCCCUCGCCUCUCCAACCCCUAGAAUGGGUCAUCCAUCUUCUCCUCUCCCUGCUGGUACCCUCGGCUUGCCUCCUAAGGGACCAGAACCUACUUCCCCAAAGCUCCAGCCACCUUCUUGCUUCCUCCCAUGGCGUGUCGGCCUGAGGAGGAAGAAGACCGAGGGUACCAUCUACCCCCGGCACUGCUCCGUCCCCCUCCCUCUCUUAUUUGCCAGGUAGGUCCCACCAGGGGUGAUGGCGUCACCCUCCUCCCCGUCACACACACCCCAUGGCUGGAUCCACGGUGCGCCCAGUCCACGCGCAUAGUAGCCGCGCCCUCAUCCCCACCCCUACGUCAACCACUUCAAAAAUGCUACGUGCACCCGAUAAGUGCACACAACCUUUCACAUAGAGCCCUUCUACUUAUCCAAAAAAAUUUCCAAAAUUCACA